GAUGAACGCUGGCGGCGUGCCUAAUACAUGCAAGUCGAGCGAACGGACGAGAAGCUUGCUUCUCUGAUGUUAGCGGCGGACGGGUGAGUAACACGUGGAUAACCUACCUAUAAGACUGGGAUAACUUCGGGAAACCGGAGCUAAUACCGGAUGAUAUUUUGAACCGCAUGGUUCAAAAGUGAAAGACGGUCUUGCUGUCACUUAUAGAUGGAUCCGCGCUGCAUUAGCUAGUUGGUAAGGUAACGGCUUACCAAGGCAACGAUGCAUAGCCGACCUGAGAGGGUGAUCGGCCACACUGGAACUGAGACACGGUCCAGACUCCUACGGGAGGCAGCAGUAGGGAAUCUUCCGCAAUGGGCGAAAGCCUGACGGAGCAACGCCGUGUGAGUGAUGAAGGUCUUCGGAUCGUAAAACUCUGUUAUUAGGGAAGAACAUAUGUGUAAGUAACUGUGCACAUCUUGACGGUACCUAAUCAGAAAGCCACGGCUGACUACGUG
rnacentral:rRNA from 1 species